rnacentral:rRNA from 1 species
CUACGGGUGGCACCAGUGGGGAAUAUUGCACAAUGGGCGCAAGCCUGAUGCAGCCAUGCCGCGUGUAUGAAGAAGGCCUUCGGGUUGUAAAGUACUUUCAGCGGGGAGGAAGGGAGUAAAGUUAAUACCUUUGCUCAUUGACGUUACCCGCAGAAGAAGCACCGGCUAACUCCGUGCCAGCAGCCGCGGUAAUACGGAGGGUGCAAGCGUUAAUCGGAAUUACUGUGCGUAAAGCGCACGCAGGCGGUUUGUUAAGUCAGAUGUGAAAUCCCCGGGCUCAACCUGGGAACUGCAUCUGAUACUGGCCAGCUUGAGUCUCGUAGAGGGGGGUAGAAUUCCAGGUGUAGCGGUGAACUGCGUAGAGAUCUGGAGGAAUACCGGUGGCGAAGGCGGCCCCCUGGACGAAGACUGACGCUCAGGUGCGAAAGCGUGGGGAGCAAACAGGAUUAGAUACCCGAGUAGUC